rnacentral:rasiRNA from 1 species
GGAUCCUACGCUGCGAUGACGCCUAA